GAUGAACGCUAGCUACAGGCUUAACACAUGCAAGUCGUGGGGCAUCAUGAUGUAGUAAUACAUUGAUGGCGACCGGCGCACGGGUGAGUAACGCGUAUCCAACCUACCCUCCACUCAAGUAUAGGCUUCCGAAAGGGAGAUUAAUCCUUGAUAUCGUCAUUCUCUCUCCUGUUAGAAUGAUAAAAGGACAUCGUUUCGGUAGAGGAUGGGGAUGCGUUCCAUUAGGUAGUAGGUGGUUUAACAGGCCACCUAGCCGAUGAUGGAUAGGGGUUCUGAGAGGAAUAUCCCCCACACUGGUACUGAGAUACGGACCAGACUCCUACGGGAGGCAGCAGUGAGGAAUAUUGGUCAAUGGGCGCAAGCCUGAACCAGCCAUGUAGCGUGAAGGAUGACGGUUUUUUUGAUUGUAAACUUCUUUUCUGUGCGAUUAAAGUGUGGCAUUUAUGCCAUA
rnacentral:rRNA from 1 species